rnacentral:rRNA from 1 species
UACGGGGGGAGCAAGCGUUGUUCGGAUUUACUGGGCGUAAAGGGCGCGUAGGCGGCCACCGCAAGUCGGUUGUGAAAUCCUUCGGCUCAACCGAAGAACGUCGAUCGAAACUGCCGUUCUUGAGGAUUGCAGAGGAGACUGGAAUUCUCGGUGUAGCGGUGAAAUGCGUAGAUAUCGAGAGGAACACCUGCGGCGAAGGCGGGUUGCUGGGCCGACACUGACGCUGAUGCGCGAAAGCCAGGGGAGCGAACGGG